rnacentral:rRNA from 1 species
CCUCCGGCCUGUCCGGGCGUUCUCCGUCUUUCUUGUUUUUCCCGGGCGCGUCGGCCGGCGCUUCCGCGUGUUGUGAAAUGUAGACGCUCAACGUCUGCACUGCAGCGCGAACUGGUUUCCUUGAGUACGCACAAAGUGGGCGGAAUUCGUGGUGUAGCGGUGAAAUGCUUAGAUAUCACGAAGAACUCCGAUUGCGAAGGCAGCUCACUGGAGCGCAACUGACGCUGAAGCUCGAAAGUGCGGGUAUCGAACAGG